AUGAUAUUUACUUGUUUGUUAAAUGCUCUGUACAUUUCAUAAAUUUUUUAGGUUAAAAAAAGUAUUUUUCAUUAAGGUGCAUUCUACUCUUCCGUUGUUGCGCAGAAAGCUUAGUAGAUAUAGUUUGGUAAUCAGCACUCUGAAGAGAAGAAGGCAUUGUAGAGGAGGGAAAGGCAUUGCUAUUUCGAGUUUGUGGUGCUGCAUUCUUUGUGAGGCGACUCCCAUCAGAAUCAGAGAUUUGUGCACUCUUUUCCUGUGAUAUUUGGGUUCAUUGAUGUUCUUGUUUUUUAUCCCUGUUUUCUAAACACCCAGAAUGCUCAACAUCUGCAUUAGAGCAAAUUCAAUUUUCCCAAAAUUCGCCUGUGAAGUUUCUCCCCAUUUUCUUAGCACUGCAGAUGCAAAUCUAUUAAAGGUGGUACACUUUUUAUGUUCCACUAAUAGUUUUGUUAGUGAACAGUACUACAAACAUUUUUUUGUGAACCCAACCAAGCUGCAAAAAUUGAUUUUGAGUGAACCUGAACUGACUCUCAUGAUUUGGAUGAGAGCAGACUUGAAAAAUUUACUGUUUGAAGGGCAGGGAUACAAAACCCUUGUAAAAUCAAGAGACAAUUCCACCAUUUCGACAACCCCUACAACUCAACUGUAUCAGUUGCCAUUGUUGUGCCCAGAGGAUGUGUUGUCACUUCUCUGUUUUUGGGCUUUUGUACAACCACCAAUCCCAAUUCUCAGGCACUGUAGAUGCAAAUAUGGUGAAGGAGAAAGCUCUGUAGCUACAGCUCGGUAAUCAACACUCUGAAGAGAAGAAGGCAUUGUAGUGGAGGGAAAGGCAUUGCAAUUUCGACUUUGUAGUGCUGCAUUCUUUGCGAGGCGACUUCCAUCAGAAUCAGAGGUUGGUAAAAGAGAAGCUGAAAACAAUCAAAAGCGGGUUCAACUACUUGACAGCUCAAAAUACUAUUCACAUACGUAUAAUUUUCAAAACAACAUCGAUCUUAUUUUUGUUUUGUAAAUAACUAGUUAACUGUCUUUCACAACAAACAUUCAAUAUUAUUCUUACUAUUUGUCUCUUCA